AUGAACAUCUGCAGAAGCUGUAACCCUUGACAAGAAGUCUGGUUUUGGAUCUAAAAUUAUCUAGGCAUGAACCUUCAGAAAUGGAUGUGGUAGCAAAGAAAUCUCCAGGUUUAUCUCUGCUCUUGUGCUGAGUCUGUGGACAGGCAAAACUAUGGAGAAAACAGUGCGCAGACACGAAAGACAUCUUGAGGAGCAAGUAUAAACGGACUUUCUGGAGUCACCGACCUCCUCCUUUUUGCUUGCUCUAUCAGUUUGCCGAAGCAAAAAGCAGUUAUGGCUGAAACUAGCAGAGCCAGCCUGUAAGUAGUGGCAAAAGUUUUGGAAACUUAGCAAAUGCAGCAUU